GGCUGAGCGCGGCUGCAGCCGGGGGGUGCUGAAACGAGUGUGCCCUGAUCACAAGCACGUGAUUGUCGUUAAAAAAAAUAAUGGAAAUUAACAGAAACUUAAGGCUGUCAUGAUGCCUUCCCAUCCAAAGGAUAUCUUUACAGCAUCUAUCACCUCACUGAACGCAAAGGAAAACAGAAGCUCUGCAUUACUGAGCAGCGAUGGCAACUCCAUAGCAAAGUGAUUUGCUGUAACUAUGCUGUGUACUCUUAAAAGGAACUUUGGUAUGCUUGAUGCAUCUCAGCAAUAACAUUGGAUUAUAUUUUUUAUUCUGGAAUUCCUCUUGACUGCAACAAACAUAGACGAUCAAUUCAUGACAGAAAAUGUAAUUUAAUGCAAGUCUUGAAGCUGCCUAACGGACAAAAAAUAGCCAUUAAUUUUUAUUUUAUCUUCCCUGCUGUUCUUGAUGGUGCCCUCUGCAAUGGGCCACAGCUCUCCCUCAGACAGUGUUUGCUACCAUGGGAUCUUUCUUGCUAAGCCACAGACCGGUUCUGUUGGUGGGGCACGGGCUGCAUCUCCUUAAAGGCCUGCCCACACUUCAGCCUUGUAUCAGAAUCAAAAGAACUUCCUCCGGUGUUUUUGGUGCCCUCUGUACUCACAGCUGUCCCCGGACUUUUGGAUCAUGCUUGAGAAUUUGACAGAGCCUCUUAGGGCUUCACAGAGAUAUCCUAUCUGUAGAGCCUGUCAUAGGAUGGGAGUUAAGCGAGUGACUGUUUUUGCACUCGGGGAGACAAAAUUAUGUCCUGAAGCAUGGAUGAGUUGUAUCUGGUGUUCUGGGACAUAUUCAGCAGGCCAUAGACUACCCACUAACUGUCCUUACCUAGAGGCUAUAAACCUCACUGGAGCUGCUAGCCUGCUGCAUAAUAUUUAUGGCAGAUGCAGCUCAGAGAGGUGUUCACAGCACGGAGCUGCAAUACAUAGCCAUUUCAAAUAGGAGUAUAGCUGUGAGCUAAUGGAAAAUUAGAAGCAAAACAACCAAGCUUCUUGUUGCUGUAUAAGCUCAGCACUGCCUGAAUCUCUUCUUCCACCAGCUGUCUUUGCUCUUUGGAUUCCUGUUCACCUUCCUCCUGCCCCUGCCCCUCCUUCUGCUGUUGGCAAUGUAAACAGCCUCUGUCCUGGCUCUUGUCAGUGAGAGCAAGAGAAAAGAGCUGUUCUUUUUGUACAGAUCAGACACGGUAGUACCAUAAGGAAAAAGCAAAGGCUGCCUCUUCCUUUUGUUCUGAGCAUCCCGUGACAUCCACAGAUUGACCGAGCUGUUGCCUGCUGCUUGCUGUGUGUGUCUGUAUGGAAAUGUGUCUGGGUAAGGAUUUUUCUGCUCAGCCUUGAAAGUGGCAAACGCUGGACGUUUGUCUUGGUAUCAAAGAGAAGCUGCAUCCUCCUCCUUUUCAUCAAGGAAUGUGGGCCCCCUGACUCACCUGCCUUGUGAACUACCUGAAACACAGCCGAUGGAUAGCACCUGUCAGCACGUUUCAGUAGAUAGCUCCAGAGAACACAAAACAGUUUGAAUAACUGUCUCUCUCUCUCUCUCCGGUGCAUCAGGAAAGAGCGAUUAAAAAAACAAAUCCAACAAAACAACUGGAGAUGAAAGACUGCUGAAGCCUUAGGACGUUUUAUUUCUUUUCCUUGGGGCAAAUGCAAGUCUCUUUCUUACAGUAAAAACAUUUUAAGCUCCUGUUUUAGUGACAAUACUUCUGAGGCUUCCCUGGAGAGCUUAUUUUGUAAUUUAAUAGAUGCCACAGUUGGGGAUUUUUUUUUUCUAUAUUCUAAUUUAUAAAGCACUCUGUGUUUUUCACCUUUAAAGCCCAUUACAGACAUUAAAUAACCUGUGGAUGGUCACUGAGAGGUAGCUAAGCCACCACCUCUCUUACCCUGAGUCUAUUAAUAACCCUGUGGGAGCUCCAUUCAACUUAACUCAGGGUUGUUUUUUUGGUUUUUUUUUUUUGCAGUUAAAUGAGAAUUUGUAUUAUGCUAAAAUGGUAGGUUAGGCACAAAAGAUGUUUCUUUCUUGUGUUCUCUUUUUAAACCAUAUACAACGUGCUCAUCAUUUCAGAUGUUUCCUAAUGUUCCGCCUUCGUAGCACUGUUCUUUUUCCUGUUGCAUCUCAUUGUUCUUCACUGUACCCUAAGUUACACCUCUUCACGUUAAGGUGUAUGAGGUGUGCAUGGAUGAUUAUCUGAUGUGGCCUUGUCGCUGUAGGGCCAGCUCUCUUACCCUUGUCCUGUUGAGCCCACCCUCCUGAGCUUGGCCAUCUUUUACCCUGGCAUCGAACUUGUCUGACACCUCCAAGGAGCAGCUUGUAGCCACAUCUGUGUUUCUUCUUUCCUGCCAGCAGCAAAAGUUUCUUCAUUGCCCAAGACAGCUAGUGAAAUUGCUGCUGUCUGUCCUUCAUCCUUCAUGCCACUUCAUGUGGAAGGGCAACUCUGCUGCAGCUCAAGCUGAGAGAAAAUUUCUCUGUCUUAAUACCUGAGAAAUAUGUCAGAAAGAUGCGUCUGAUCCGUUUGUGGCCAUCAGUGGGAAGGAAAGAGUGCAAAGAUGUUCUGUGAUUGUUAAGAAACUGAAAGUCUUUCUUUACUCCUGCUGAGUUGCCCUUGGCCAGCCUGCAUCCUUGUCCUUGUUCUGGUGCCUGAGCCAUAGGAAGAACAAUAACAUCUUAGAACGUCUAGAGUUGGAAGGGACCCAUAAGCUCCUGGUUUCACACAGGACCACCCAAAAAUCAAAUGCUUCUUGAACUCCACCAGGCCCGGUGCUGUGCCCGCUGCCCUUAGGUGUCAGUUCCAGGGCCCAAGCACCUUUCAGUAAAGAACCUUUCCCUAACCCCUCCCCUGACGCAGCUCCAUGCCGUUCCCUCGGGCCCUGUCGCUGUCACAGAGAGCAGAGCUCAGCGCUGCCCCUCCGCUCCCUGUGAGGAGCUGCAGCCGCCAUCAGGCCUCCCCUCAGCCUGCUCUGCUCUGGGCUGAGCACAUCAACGGACCUCAAUUGCUUCUUGUGUAUCUUGCCCUCUAGGACUUUUGCCACCUUCAUAACCCUCUUUUGGAUGCUCUCUAAUAGUUUUAUGUACUUCUUUUUACUGUAGUGCAUCAAACAGAGAGGAUGGCUGCCUGCACAGCACUGUGCCCUCUGCUUUCUUCUCGGGCAUGGAGCCAAUGCCAACAGGAUUUGAAACACAGUGACUGGAAUUAAAUGUUUCAGGUCAGAAAGUCUGGGAGGCUGCUUUUGAGGGUCAUGAGGUGGCCCUGUCUCACCCCUUUGGCAGCUUGGCCAGGGCCCCAGAAAAAAAAAAAAGCAUCUAUUACACUUCGCUGCUCACAUUCAAGUGCGUGUAUGUUUAGAGUAGUUUUGAUGCAUAGGUGUUACAUACCUGUUCUUGACCAGGACAGCAAUCACCUCUCAUCAAGCAGCUGUUAGUGCUGCAUGCUUUCAGGCAAGACUUGCUCAUGCCUUGCUGGUGUAAGUUGUUCUAAAUGACUGCUACCUUACAGUGUGUACAUGGAUAUAAAUAGCACUGGCUUUUCAGCCAUCACGUUGCAUGCUGAGCACUUACCUGAUAGCAGGCAAACAACCAGUACGUGUAAGUAGGCAAAUCAAGGUAGUGAUCAAAAGAGCAUUUGUCCACUUUGUUUGCCGGUAAUUUCUCUUAUGGAUUGUGCUGUCAUUUAACAUGUAACAAGUGCCUGCGUAUUCAGCUUGUAUCACUCCAGAUGGCCGGUUCUUUCAUAUUUCAUAGUCUUGUAUUUUAGGGCUGUAUUUAAAAUUGUUACUUUCUUAAUAGUUAACUACAGGACAAAAUUACACACUGCCUCAAGCCCAGUAAAUAACUUCAAGGAAUACUUGCAGUAGGACCUUGACUUUUUAAUGUUGUAGGCUGCCUUCUGUUUUUGCUUGGGUAAGCUUGCACAGGGAAGAGCCAUAUGUUGCUCUGACACACCUGGCAGAGCAGAUCAGAGUUUAGGCUGAUGUUAUAUUUCAGGUCAUUUGGAAUACACAGUUUCAGUCACUGUUACAAUCAGAUACCAGUCAAAGACUGAAAGAAAAACCAUCAGUGUAUAUGGACUAUUAGCUAACGUUCUCUGCUCAGUGCCACAGAAUGAAAUGCUGGCCACCAGUAUACUGACCACAAUACUGGCAUUUAAUUUUUGGGAAGAUAAUCUUGGAUUAAGGCCUUUAUUCUGCACGGUUUCACUGGUAGCACAUGCAUUCCAUCGGCACCUCCUCUGGGAGGACUGCACUUAACUUUUGUUUUGUCAGGAAGACUGAUGCCAGCCCUCCUUAGCAUUGCAAGCCAGUAUAUUCCACUGACAAAAUCCUUAAGUCACACUGCAGUAGCUGUUGCAAAUAGGCCUUCGGAAGCUAUUGCACAGUGCCAGACCCUGCAGUGUGAAUACCUGUUCUGGGUGAAAGUAAUGGUCUGGGAGGUUUUUUUUGACAAGUGGUAGAAACUAGUGGGAUAGCUGGAGGUGCACCUCAAUCCCAUACUGGAAAUCACACCCGGAUGGGGAUCCUGUGGCUGUUUAAUGAAAACACUAGGUAUUUUAUACCUUCUUCUCUUUGACUUGGGGCUCUCUGAACUCUUGCUUCCAUCCUUGGUAUUUCCUAAUCUCAAAAUUAAGUACUUUCAGUACUUAAUAGGGGCUGUAAGAAAGAUGGGGAGGGACUUUAUCAGGCAAUAUAAUGACAGGAUGAGGGGUAAUAGCUCUAAACUAAAAGAAGGUUAAAUUACAUCAGACAUUAAGAAGAAAUUCUGUACUGUGAGCAUACUGAGGCACUGCAAGAGAUUACCCAGAGGAGCUGUGAAUGCUCCAUCCCUGGAAGUGUUCAAGGUCACUUUGGAGUGGGCUUUGGGCAACCUGUUCUAAUGGCAGGUACCCCUGCUCGUGGCAGGGGGAUUGGAACAGGAUGGGCUUUAAGGUCCCUUCCAAACCAAACCAUCCUGUAAGUCUAUGAAAAUCCAUACCACUCAGCAACAAAGCCUUUUGAAUAACUAGUUUACUUCAGUUGUUUACAGUAGCAAGCCUAAGGAAAGUAAAACAACUGCGAGCAAAUUUAAAUGGUCACAUAAACUUGGUUUUCAGUGUUAUUCUGAUGUAGGGUGGGCAGACAGUUUCUGGGGUUAUAAACCGAGUGGUAAAAAAUGUAUAGGCAGGUGAUCAUUCAAAUCAAAUGCAUGGUACGUAUCAAAUGAUCUUAGCAGUUAGUGUUUAAUCUGUAUGAAUUUUAUGAUUAACUUUGUAAUGUAAAUAGGAAAACUGUCACGUUUUGAAUUUUCAUUAAAAGUCUCCAGAAUGAAGGAGCUGACCGUUGUUCUGUGGUGCAAGGCUAGGAGUUAUAGAUAAUACUUCACUGUCUCAAAGGACUUGACUUGGAGUGUGUUUGUUGAAUAGACAUUGGUGACAGAUAUCCCUUAGGCUCAUUGGCCUGACUGUGCCACUUAUUCUCCGGCACUGUGUUUUUAUGUAUGCCUGCCCUGUGGAGAGCUGCUUUGCUUUUCCUGUCGUUUUCUUUAAUCUCCCUCCCUGUGUUUGGCACUUUUGGGAUGGAAUAAAAGGAUUGGAAUCCCCUCUGCUUUCACUGAGUCUAUCAGUAUUUUUAAGUACUGUUAUAACUAAACUAUCUGGGCUGUUGAACGUAGACCCAGAAAGCUAGAAAAGGCUUAGAAAAGUCCCUGACACACCAGCUGGGACUGCUGAACUACACUGAAGGAAGUAAAGCAGAAGCUUAACUGGGUCAUAUCUGUUUAUCAUGUUUGGUUUAUCCUUUCCUAAUAUAAACAUCCCACAUCAGUCAAUCUUUUUUCAAAUAAAACAGUGUCCAUGCCUCCAGUAAUUCUCCUUACCACUUCAGCUUGUGGUCUGACCUCUGAUCAUAGAAACAGAAAUGAGUUAACUUACGUAUUGAAUAAUAUCAGUAUAAAAGUGAGUUAAGUUAGAUAUGAACAAUAUCAGCCAGUGUUCAAACCUGGACCCUACCAAGUUUGAUAAUCACAAAGAUUGAUUUUUGCAGGGUUCAACAGGAAUGAGACUGAAAUGACUACUUGUUUUAGUGGGAUGAUAGUUAUUGAAGAAUGAGAAGUAAAGUUUAUACAUCAGAAAAUCAGUGUGCUCUCAUGAAUCUUUAGAACUUUCAUACUCCAGAACCAUGGAUUGUCUGAUAAUAGACCUCAGCUAUAAUGAGAAUCCUAAAAGCCUACCUCCCUCCAGGCUGCAUCAAGCCACAGAAUGCUUCUCUUAUACAUAACAAAGUGAUUCCAAAGUAUCCUGCAGGAGGAACCACGUCCCAGAUGAAAAAGGGCUGCUCUACCACUGCCCACUGCCUCUUGCCCUCAUAGCUGAUUGUCUUCUCUGUGACUACUCUCCAGCCAAGGAAUUACCAACAAAGGGUCUGGAGAGAGAGAAAAAGAGUCCCGAACUUCUGACACUUCUAGUUCAAAGGCCAUCAAAUAUCACGUGCUACCUCUACAUAGUGGUAGAACAAUAGAGGCAAAGGGCAUUGCUGAUGUGUUUCGUGAGGCAUGAACUUGAAGCACUCAGUUAAUACUCUUUCCAUUACAUUUGGUAUUGCAGCUUUAAAUUUCAAGUGUUAGAUUUGCUCAGACGGUCAAUAUAAAUAAUUUAGAAUAUCGAGGGGAGUCAUGAGAAAAGUAUUUAGUGAUUUUUUAGAAAGUACGCUUCAGAAGUUUUAUAUUUCUUUUUUUGCUGUGUUAAUCCCUCAUAAACAUGUUUUCAUUAGCAUUCUUUUUUUGUCGAAUACUAAGAUUAUCUCAAAAUGAAGGUCAUAACAAAAGCUUUAUGCCAUACAAAGCUGCAAAACAACCCUGCUUACUGAGUUUGCUAAUUACUGCCAAACCUUACUGCAGAGAUGCCAGUAAAAACAGCUAUUGGAGAUUUAUUCCAAAAGACUAUUGGAAAAACAGCCUCACAGUGUGCCCAUGUGGACCCCAGGGUUGCAUGGACAUGCAUCUGGAAAUGUCUGGGGUUUGUGCAUGAGGAAUUGGAGAGAGAACAGAGAGAUGAGAGUUACUCAGCCCUGCGCAGCACAGAGCUGCCGCUCCCAAUGAACUUGGUUAGGGUGGAAUAUUUACAGCCCCAAAAUCGAGUGUCCUGUUCAGUAUAAAGAACUGUAUUUUCAUUCAUUUCAAGCCCUCUGCAUUUGUCACCUUCAACAGUUAAUGAAUAACUCUACAACUUCUUUAUCCUCCAUCCAGAAUUGAGGCCUCUUUAUGCAGGAAGAAAAUGCAUUUAAUUCCCUUGUUACUUGUUGGCCCUGACGUACAGGCAGGAACAGAAAGUCUCCUCUUGUGCAGCCAGCUGCUAGCUUUGGCCACUUGCUGACCCCAGACAGACAGAUGACAACGUGGAAGUGAAGUGGCUGAGGAAGCAGAGUGUCUCAGACCCAGAAAAUUCCUGCUUUUCGGUCUUGUGACUGUUUUUAUUUUCUAAACACAGUUGCCUUCCUGCCUAGAAAAAAGAAAUCUAGAAAUUGUGGCUUUCAGUCAGUGCACAGACUGCUGGAUUCUGCUGAUGCUUUCUAAGGGACCUGUGACAGGUGUUGAGGAAAAUCAAAGUUAUCAUCUCUAGGCUGACCUUCACCAUACUGAAACCCUCAGUUUCUCUGGGGAAUUUUCAGAGUCUCAUAUAUUUAGAAAAGAUGUAAAGCUGUUGUUGUGAAUCAUAGUUUCUGAGAGCUGUAAGAAUAAUGCUUCUAUGGAAAAUUCUGCUGAGUAAAUGUGUAUCCCCCAUCCACCUCCUAAUGCCACAAAAUAUGCAGUGCUAGAUGCUUAUUUUUAUACAGAUUGACUGCUUCUAUAUCAAAUAUUUCAAUGUUUGUAAGUUAACGUUAUUGCAGUAAAGGUUAUUUGUUACAUAAUCCCAUAUUGCAAUCCCAUAUGGAUUAGAAAUGUAGUAUUCCAGUGACAGAUUAAGCUCUGCAUUUUGGUGAUUUUACUAGAUGUUAGUAUUAUGGUGCAGAAGUUUUGUUUACCCACCAAAACAAACACCUUUCCAGGAAGCGUGGGCAGCAGUCUAAUCCUUCCAUUAUAUUUUGCUUUAUAAAAUUUGUGUAGUCCCUAAUUUGAGGUGUUUUUAUAGACCAGGACUAUUAUGAAGUAGAUCUGUGGGUAGGCUCACAAAGCAUGUGGCAAAGUUGAGUAAUACUCAUUUUUUCUGAUUACAGGGAAAUAUACCAAGGGAACAGCAAUGCAUUCCUGUACCACGCAGCAUUUAAGAUUCUUGCAUUCAGUUGAACAGUAGAGGGACCAGACUAGUUAGCAAGUGCAGUAAAUGAUCACAUCAGUGCUUUGAAAGUAUUAUUUAAAUUUGGGCACAACUGUUUGGUUUACAGGUUGAUUUUUAGAAGUUUCCUCCGUCAGGAGAGAUCGGAGUAAACAAAUGAGUAUGGAUGGGGUUCAACCACAGAAUAUGAGUGCAAGCGCAGCCUUGAAAGUCUGCGUUGUUUAAACUCAGGGCUCCCCAUCAUUUAUUUGUAGCGAAGGAGGACAGACACCUGUUUGGAUUUCUUUCCAGAUUUCCUUAAAUAUGAGAACAAUUUCAGAUCUGGGAUUUUGGUUUGGGCCCAUUUGCAGUUUCGAUGGUAUACAGCUGUGGAAGAGCAAUGACAGAAAGGCAAAGGUUACACAGAAGAGUAAUUAUUCAUAGCUGUAAUGCAAGAACAGACAGAAUGUUGGUAAGGUUGUUUAGCAGCUGUAUUCUCACAGUCCAAGCUCUGCUGUGAUUCCAUCAAGGAUCUACUGUGCCUUCGGGUAAAGUAAAGCUAUUCAUGCUGCAGAGGGAUGUCCUUGAAUAGAAAGAGCUGGAUUUUUCUCAUAAUAAUAGCAUAGUCACUAGUUAUUUACUGCUAUCUCUGAUAUAUUUGAUUAAACCAGCGCUGACAUCAUUAGGCUGCUUUUGAACCAGUGCUUUUUGCAAAAGCACCUUGUAACUUUACAGUUACUCACAGCUCUCACUGGCUGUCUUUAACCUCAUGGCCAUCAUGGAAGGACUGAUGGCUGGACCCAAUGCUGCAGGCACUGAUGUGCCAAGCUGUGACAUCCCUGGUGUUCUCCACCUGAGUUAACCAUUUGUGGCUCCCCAUUGACCUAUGCUCAUCGGGACUCCUUGACAGAAACAGUGUUAUAGGGAUCCUAAGCAGAGAUAUUUUCAGUGUUUUUUGGCCUCAGAAGCCCAUCCUAUUCUCUCCAUCUCUCCCUGCUGCUGUUUGUUUAGCAACUGCUCAGUGGCCAUAAUUCACGGGUAGAAUAUUGAGACAAUGGGCAUUGAUUUAAACUGCCAAGUUGUAAAAUGAAAUGUUGUGUACCAGGAACUGUCUCAGAAGCUAUGAAGACAUUCAGGCAACUGUAGGUUAGGAAUCUUUGCUGCCCAUCCUGCAACAGUUGAAACCAUACAACAUGGUGGGAACAUCCCAUAAAGGAAAAGAGCAAAUAACUGAGGCAGAAAUGGCUUUGUAAUUUCACUCUCUCUGUUUGAAAAUAGAGCUAACAAUACCAGCAGGAAUUUGGGGUAUGGAAAGCUCUGUAUGAAAAACAAGUAUCUGUACAGAACCUCAAAAACAAGCAGCAUGUAGGCUGGGAGUAGGAAAAAGUUAACAGUGAAGUCACUAGUAAAAAUAAGGCCAUACUGUCUUAAAUUUAUCAUAUGUAGUGUUUCAAGGUUCUGGUAUAUAAGAUUUUUCUCUUUUUCUGGUUGUUUAAAAAGUGUUUUUUUCGCCUCCUUUAUUGGUUCAGUAUGCGUGUGUACAUGGAACUUUAAUAGGAGUGAAGGAGUCAGAGAAAGAUGGUAGGGAGGGAAGGGCAGAUGAAUCUCACCCUGUAGAUAUUAAUAUUUUUCUAUAUUUCAAUUCUAGCAAUAAGGAUGAUGGUUAUCUUCUGUUGCCUGGCAUAAUGCAUUCUGUGGUGUAUGGAGCAAACAGUGGUUCUCUAGGGGACCUGGGCAUGGCUCAUCCACAGCCUGCAUCACUGUUCUGAACACUGUGUAUUCUCUUGUGUGGCAUCACAGCUCAUUGGUCCUGUGCUGGCUGUGCAUCACCUAAGAUUUUCUUCUUUUCUUCUCUCACACUACACCCACCACAGAAUAGAUCAUUUGCAUUGGAAACUUGUAUGAGUAACAGUACCACUUCCUCCUUCAACUAUUAUGAAUAAAAAAAACAAAGGCACCUAACUAUAAAUCAUCCAUGUGCAGCCCUUGAAUUUAGAGGUUAUGUGGUAGAGAGCCUUUGGGUGAAGCUGAGGGAAUGGAUAGCAAAGCAGAUGUCAUCAUGUGUCUAUCAAUUACCCAAAAACGAUGAUAUCAUAGAUUCUAUAGGCAAUUAGAGGAAAUCUUUGGAUCAGUUGCUCUCAUCCUUAUGGGAGAUUCCAACUUCCCAGACAUAAACUAGGAAUACCAUACUGCUGAGACAAGCAAGUCUGGGAAAUUCCCAAAGCACAUUGAAAAUGAUUUCCUGUUGCAAGUACUUAGUAACUCAGCUAGGAAAGGUGACCUCCUGGAUCUGUUGUUAGAGAAUAGGGAAGGGGAGAGGUGAUGGUAGGUCGCUUUCUUGACCACAGUGAUCACGAAAUAGUUGAGUUCAAAAUUUUUGGUGUAAUGAGAAGAAGUUGGACAAAGUUGCCACCAUGGACUUUGAGUAAAUUUUAAGCUUCUCAGGAAGCUAAUUAGCAGUGUUCCCUGGGAUCUUCUCUAGAGGGUUUAAGGGUCCAUGAGAGCUGGUCACUUUUCAAGAACCACAUUUUAAAGGUGCUCACCAGUAGGAGAAUGGAAUUAAAACUAUCAGAAUAUACAGCAUACACGCCCUUCAUUGCCAGUCUGUGCAUCUAUAGCCAGCACAUCUGUUACAGUCUGUAGGUUGACCUAAACCUCCAUGAGCUCUAAUUAGCCUGCCCCUAUAAAAGGGUCAGAAAUAAAGAAACUCAGGUCUAACUGCUACAAGAACUGCUCAGCACGGAGCAGUGGGUUGCCAGUGCCUGCUGAGCAUUGAGGAAAAGACGUGUCUGGUUAUGGAUCUACCCAGCAAAAACACUGUUCUGCUUCCCAAGUGGUACAGAUCCCAUUCAAGCUAUCUGCUUUAACAUCUCUGCAUCAGGAAAUAAUCUCCUGUACCACCCUGAAAUGACUCUUUGUGUUCAUGUAGUAACCCCAGCAAUUUCUACAGCAAUGGUAUUAGUUCCAAUGGGAAGAUUUAUACAUUAGUUUUCUCAUUUUCCCAAUGUUUUCUCUAUCCAAGGUAUCUGCUGUUCUGGGAAUCAAAGACUGGUAUAAACACGUGGGGAAAUCUUUGAAAGAGUAUCUCUUAAUGUCUAUACUAAGUGUCACUGUAGGGAUGUGUUCAGAGCAUCCAGAAGUAGAAUGUGUCUUUUUGUAACUCAUAGGAUGUAUUCAUGAAGAGGUGUCCAAACAGACAACUGUUUUGUUGUUGUUGUUUUUGGUUUUUUUCCCUCAGAAGACUAUGAACAGGCUAUUACUAGAGGCAAAGGCACU